rnacentral:rRNA from 1 species
ACAACAUUCCGAAAGGAAUGCUAAUACCGCAUACGUCCUACGGGAGAAAGCAGGGGAUCUUCGGACCUUGCGCUAAAUGAUGAGCCUCAGUCGGAUUAGCUAGUUGGUGGGGUAAAGGCCUACCAAGGCGACGAUCUGUAGCGGGUCUGAGAGGAUGAUCCGCCACACUGGGACUGAGACACGGCCCAGACUCCUACGGGAGGCAGCAGUGGGGAAUAUUGGACAAUGGGCGCAAGCCUGAUCCAGCCAUGCCGCGUGUGUGAAGAAGGCCUUUUGGUUGUAAAGCACUUUAAGCGAGGAGGAGGCUCUCUUAGUUAAUACCUAAGAUGAGUGGACGUUACUCGCAGAAUAAGCACCGGCUAACUCUGUGCCAGCAGCCGCGGUAAUACAGAGGGUGCGAGCGUUAAUCGGAUUUACUGGGCGUAAAGCGUGCGUAGGCGGCUUUUUAAGUCGGAUGUGAAAUCCCCGAGCUUAACUUGGGAAUUGCAUUCGAUACUGGGAAGCUAGAGUAUGGGAGAGGAUGGUAGAAUUCCAGGUGUAGCGGUGAAAUGCGUAGAGAUCUGGAGGAAUACCGAUGGCGAAGGCAGCCAUCUGGGCCUAAUACUGACGCUGAGGUACGAAAGCAUGGGGAAGCAAACAG